rfam:Myotis lucifugus cont2.68958, whole genome shotgun sequence.
GACCAGGUAGCUCAGUUGGUUAGAGCGUUGUCAUGAUAUGUCAAGGUUGCGGGUUUGAUCCCUGGUCA